CCCACCGUUCACCGUUCACAGAGAUGGCCAAUCAUCAUUUUGAGCGUUUCAUCGAUGAUGGGAUCGCUGACCAACUGGAUUAAUCCCAGGCUUCAAGUGAGCCAAUAGAAAACCGGUUCUGCCCCUCCUGUUUUACUGCAGAAAUCCAAGGCUUGUAGCCAGCAGCGUCGUCACUAUCUAGGCUGACAUUUUGUGUAAAUGGACGCACAAGGUCUGCUGAGCUUGUAGUGUGUCAUGUUUCCUUAUCGUAAAGGAAAAGGUUUGCUUAGUUCAGAUGAUGCUGUGACCUGUCAUGCAGAAUACAGGAGGAAGCCUCAACCUGAUUUAAGAAACAAGACAGUUUAUGAAGGCGGACCACCUGCUUAACAAGGUAGCGAGAGCAUUCAUCUGCACCACAGGCCUGUUCGCUGCAAUCGGAUGAGAAAGAAGACACACUCCUGUUUGACUGGACAGGAGCUGAAACUUAGUUUAGCAUAAGUGACUGGAGUAUAAGAGGACACUAAUGUAGCUGGGCUUGAUGGCAGUGUGUUUUUGUAAACAAGCACAAAACAAAGAAAAAAUGAGAGCGAAAAACUGUGAUGUUACAUGAAUGUAGGUACAGGAAAUACAAAUCAACAGAGUGAGUUGAAGAAUGCGUAAUGUACAUUCCUCCUGUCUCCGUUUCUGUCACACUAUCCUCUCACACACAUUGAAGGAUGUUCUACACCAGUCAAGAGCGCAUUGCUGACAAUAACUCGGUGUACAGUUACAGUUGUGGAUGAAACUAAUUUAUGGGUAAACCCUGAGGCACAGAGAUUUGAGUUCAGCCAGGAAGGCGUUUAAAGGUCACGUUGGACAUCCCAUUGCUUUAAAUAAGAACAUGUGGUGACAGUUAAAGGGACAGGCACAAAAGAAUGAUGCAGUAUGAGCUAAUAUCAUCAAAAAUUUAAUCAGCAUUUUAAACCAACUGGUGUCACGACUGCCCCUGGGAAACAGACUGCAAAUGUCACACACACACACAUAUAUAGCAGGGUCAGAACAAUGGGCAAUGUUUUUUUUUUUAAUUUACAAUGUUAGUAACAUGUUUAUCUCUCUUAAAGUAUAAAGUUAGAUGAGAAGAUCAAUACACACCCUCAUACCUGUCACAUGACUACAGACUGUAAAUCAUUCUUCUCUGUGUGUGCUACUGUUUCACAGACAUUUAGCAUUUGCCUUUGUCCUGUAAUUACCACGAGAUCACAGUAGCACUGUUCAGCCAUAGUUACACAGCACUGAGUGAACUAUGCUAUCUCAAUUUUAACUGCUAUCUCAGUUCUCUUUGUUCUAUUGAUUCAGACAUACUGUAUGUAAUAAUAUCUUAUAAAAUGU